AUGGGGGCGGGGAAGGAAGCUCCCGGCGCCGUCGAGGGCGCCGCCGAGCCGCCGCCGCCGGUCGUGCUCAAGAUGGUCUUGCAUUGCGCCGGCUGCGCCAAGAAGGUCCGCAACAGCAUCAAGAGCAUGCCCGGUGUGCAGUCGGUGGUGGCCGACGCGGCGGCGAACAGGGUCGUCGUGGCGGGGACGGCCGACGCGGCCGCGCUCAAGGCGCGGAUCGAGUCCCGGACCAAGAAGCCCGUCGAGAUCGUCUCCUCCGGCGCCGGCCCCGGCCCGGCCAAGCCCGCAGCAGCCCCCGCCGCGGCCGAGAAGAAGAGCCCCGACAAGGAGGGCGACAAGAAGGAUCCCGACAAGGGGGAUAAGGCCGGCGCCUCCAAGCCGCAGCCGCCCAAAGAGGAAGACGCGGCGAAGAAGCAACCGCCCACCCCCACCGAGGAGAAGAAGCCCACGGAGCUCCAGGAGACCACGGUGCUGCUCAAGAUCCGCCUCCACUGCGACGGCUGCGCCGACCGCAUCAGACGCCGGAUAUACAAAAUAAAAGGGGUCAAGCAUGUGGAGCUGGAGGGCAAUGCCAAGGACGAGGUCAAGGUCACGGGCACCAUGGACGUCCCCGCCAUGGUGGCGUACCUGACCGAGAAGCUCAACCGCGCCGUCGAGGCCGUCGCGCCCGGCAAGAAGGACAAGGGCGCCGGCGACGAGAAGAAGGACAACAAGGGCGCCGGCGACGCCGAGAAGAAGACAGACAAAGAGGCGGGCGGCGACCACGUCGUCAUGAGCCAGGACAAGGGGAAAGGCAUCGAGGUGGCGGGCCCGUCCAUGGCGUCCGCCGCGGCCUCCGUGGCGCCCGCGCCGGUCCAGGCGAGGACGCACCACGUCUCGCCGUACGGCCAGGUGCCGUACCCGCAGCCGCAGGGGCCCCCGCCCAGCUACUACAGCCCCUACGGCGGCAAUGCCGACGGCGCGGGGUACGCCGGCGCCGGCAGCGGCAGCGGCGGCUACUACCAACAACAGCAGCACCCCAGCGCCAACGGCUACUACCAGCAGCAGCACCCGGGCGGCGACGCCGGCGGCUACUACCAGCAACCAAGAGAGGCCGGCGGCUACUAUCAGCAGCAGCACCCCAGCGGCGGCUACUACCAGCAGGAGCACCCCAACCACCAGGCGUACCAGCCGUACCCGCCGCCCUACCACUUCGACACGGCGCCGCCCUCGCAGAUGUUCAGCGACGAGAACCCCAACUCCUGCUCCGUCAUGUGA
rnacentral:rRNA from 1 species